GGACCAGGUGAGGAAGUAGGAGGCUGGGAACCCGGGACUGUGGGGGCAAGUUGAGGGCUCCCAGGGUCGUCGGGGCUGAGCCGAGAGGGUAGUUAGAAUUUCUGUGGUUUAGGGUCCCUCCCUCCGUAUGGGGUUAGACUCAGUGCAGGGAGAGCCCAGCCUAUGAAACCUCCUGGGAGGUCUGCAGGAUCAAGGCUUUCCAGUCGGCCCGAGCCGGCGGGCGCCCCCGGAGGUUUUGUAUGGUGCCUUAGUAGUCGGCCCCUUUGGAACCAGAUGAAAUGCAGUUUAUGAGCUUACGGAAAGCCUGGCCUACAUUUUACUCUUUUUGGAUUUCUUCCUCACCAAGAGACUGAUGCAGUGCCUGUCGUGCUAGGGUGAGAAAAUAGGUUUAUCAAGCUGUUGUGUCAACCUUGAGUUUUCAUCUUGGAGAAGAGGUCACUCCUGACCCAGGCA
rnacentral:sRNA from 1 species